rnacentral:lncRNA from 1 species
CCAGUUCUUAUUGGGAAGUCAAAAGAUCCAUCCUGUGUUGCAAAAGUUUCUGAAGAGGGGAAACCUGCGAUAGGGCCUCAGAAAAUGGAGUUACAUGUGAGGUGGAGGUCAGACACAGGCAAAUGUGUAGAUGCUUCACCGCUGGUUGUAAUACCCACUUUUGAUAAGUCAUCUACAACUGUGUACAUUGGUUCCCAUUCUCAUAGAAUGAAGGCAGUUGACUUUUACUCUGGGAAGGUAAAAUGGGAACAGAUUUUGGGAGAUCGAAUUGAAUCCUCAGCAUGUGUAUCUAAGUGUGGAAACUUUAUUGUGGUGGGCUACUGGGAACGUUAUUUGGAAACAUUCCUGUGGAAAACCACUCUUCUCUUCCCCACGAUGUUGCUCACAGUAUAUUUGUAUUGGCUGUGUAGAUGGGAAUUUACUCUGCUUUACUCACUUUGGAGAACAGGUUUGGCAGUUCUCUACCAGUGGAC